CUACUACUCUGGGGGCUGCACCUUGACUUGGCUGUGUUUCACCUGACUCUGAUCAGUCAUCAGCAGGGUAUAUAAACCCAGCCUCGCCCUGUGCUCAGUGUCAAGUCUUUGAUCCUGUUUGUUCUAGUGUUCCUGUUUCAUUGCUUCGCAUUAUUGACCCCGGCUUCCUGACUCGUUUAUUCUGACUUCUGGCAUCCCUUGACUUCGGCUACUCCUCAUUGUUCCUGUCCUCUGGCAUCCUUUG